UGGGGAAUAUUGCACAAUGGGCGCAAGCCUGAUGCAGCGACGCCGCGUGGGGGAUGACGGCCUUCGGGUUGUAAACUCCUUUCGCUAGGGACGAAGCUUUUUGUGACGGUACCUAGAUAAGAAGCACCGGCUAACUACGUGCCAGCAGCCGCGGUAAUACGUAGGGUGCGAGCGUUGUCCGGAAUUACUGGGCGUAAAGGGCUCGUAGGUGGUUUGUCGCGUAGUCUGUGAAAUUCCGGGGCUUAACUCCGGGCGUGCAGGCGAUACGGGCAUAACUUGAGUACUGUAGGGGUAACUGGAAUUCCUGGUGUAGCGGUGAAAUGCGCAGAUAUCAGGAGGAACACCGAUGGCGAAGGCAGGUUACUGGGCAGUUACUGACGCUGAGGAGCGAAAGCAUGGGUAGCGAACAGG
rnacentral:rRNA from 1 species